UGGAGGCGGCGGCCUAUCAUCUGGUUGGUGAGGUAGUGGCUCAUCAAGGAUUCGACGGGUAGCCGGCGUUAGAGGGUGACCGUCCACAUUGGGAGUGAGAUACGGCCCAAACUCCUACGGGAGGCAGCAGUGGGGAGUAUUGCACAACGGACGGAAGUAUCAUGCAGCAACACUGCGUGCGGGAUGACGACCUUCGGGUUGUAAAAAGCUUUCAUCCAUAGGGAAGAAAGAGUCGGUAUAGUGAGAGAAAGAUCACCCCAUAAAUACGCCACAGCAGGCGCGGUGAUAUAUAGGGCCAACGUGUUUCGGAAUUUUAUGGCGUAAAGGGAUCUUUGGUGGGUUUGUAAGUGUCGGAAGAAAUAUCUCAGGCCUACCCUGUGAGCCUGCUUUCGAUACGUGCAGACUUGAGGAAGUAGGGGGAGAAUGGAAUUCCUGGUGUAAGCGGGUAAAUGCGCUAGAUAUCAGGAGGAACACCCGGUAGGCGAAGGCAGGCUUCUCUGG
rnacentral:rRNA from 1 species